rnacentral:misc_RNA from 1 species
GAUGAAGAACGCAGCGAAAUGCGAUAAGUAAUGUGAAUUGCAGAAUUCAGUGAAUCAUCGAAUCUUUGAACGCAUAUUGCGCCCGCCAGUAUUCUGGCGGGCAUGCCUGUUCGAGCGUCAUUUCAACCAUCAAGCCCCCGGCUUGUGUUGGGGACCUGCGGCUGCCGCAGGCCCUGAAAAGCAGUGGCGGGCUCGCUGUCACACCGAGCGUAGUAGCAUACAUCUCGCUCUGGGCGUGCUGCGGGUUCCGGCCGUUAAACCACCUUCAUAACCCAAGGUUGACCUCGGAUCAGGUAGGAAGACCCGCUGAACUUAAGCAUAUCAAUAAGCGGAGGA